GACGAACGCUGGCGGCGUGCCUAACACAUGCAAGUCGAGCGGGGUUGAGGCGAGAGGUAACUCGAGCUUCUACCUAGCGGCGGACGGGUGAGUAACGCGUGGGCAACCUGCCUCAAGGUUUGGGAUAACAGCCCGAAAGGGCUGCUAAUACCGGAUAUGCCUAUGGCCUCGCAUGGGGCUAUGAGCAAAGGGGAAACCCGCCUUGAGAUGGGCCCGCGUCCCAUCAGCUAGUUGGUGAGGUAACAGCUCACCAAGGCGACGACGGGUAGCCGGCCUGAGAGGGUGACCGGCCACACUGGGACUGAGACACGGCCCAGACUCCUACGGGGGGCAGCAGUGGGGGAUCUUGCACAAUGGGCGAAAGCCUGAUGCAGCGACGCCGCGUGAGCGAAGAAGGCCUUCGGGUUGUAAAGCUCUGUCUGGAGGGACGGAACAAAAUAGACGGUACCUUACCGGAGGAAGCCGACGGCUAACUACGUGCCAGCAGCCGCGUAACUAGUCUACG
rnacentral:rRNA from 1 species